GUUCCCAGCGGGCCCCGCGCUGCGCGCGUUUGCGGGCUGACGCCUUCAUUCGGUCGUGCUGACGUGCAGCGCGGCCCAGGCGGGGUGCGAGUGGCGCAGUCGGAGCCCGCUGCGGCCCCUGAGGAAGCGAGGAGGCGGCAGCGUCGGGUGAGGAGCGGUGGUGCCCCCGGGCACAGGGCCAUGUACAACGGGAUCGGGCUGCCGACGCCCCGGGGCAGCGGCACCAACGGCUACGUCCAGCGCAACCUGUCCCUGGUGCGGGGCCGCCGGGGUGAGCGGCCUGACUACAAGGGAGAGGAGGAGCUGCGGCGCCUGGAGGCUGCCCUGGUGAAGCGGCCUAACCCUGACAUCCUGGACCACGAGCGCAAGCGGCGCGUGGAGCUGCGAUGCCUCGAGCUGGAGGAGAUGAUGGAAGAGCAGGGGUACGAGGAACAACAAAUUCAGGAAAAAGUGGCGACCUUUCGACUCAUGUUGCUGGAGAAGGAUGUGAACCCUGGGGGCAAGGAGGAGACCCCGGGGCAGAGGCCAACGGUAACUGAGACUCACCAGUUGGCAGAAUUGAAUGAGAAGAAGAAUGAGCGACUCCGUGCUGCCUUUGGCAUCAGUGACUCCUACGUGGAUGGCAGCUCUUUCGAUCCUCAGCGUCGAGCCCGGGAGGCUAAACAGGCUGCUGCUGAGCCUCCCAAGCCUUACAGCCUUGUCCGGGAGUCUAGCAGUUCUCGCUCCCCGACUCCAAAGCAGAAGAAGAAGAAGAAGAAGAAAGAUCGAGGACGCAGGUCAGAGAGCAGCUCUCCUCGACGGGAGCGGAAGAAGAGCUCCAAGAAGAAGAAACACAGAUCAGAAUCUGAGUCAAAGAAACGGAAGCAUAGAUCUCCUACUCCGAAGAGCAAACGUAAAUCUAAGGACAAGAAGCGCAAGCGGUCCAGAAGUACAACACCUGCUCCUAAGAGCCGCCGGACCCACCGAUCAACCUCUGCCGAUUCUGCUUCUUCCUCCGACACUUCUCGCAGCCGGUCUCGGAGCGGUGCAGCUAAAACCCAUGCAACUGCCAUGACUGGGCGAAGUCCUUCCCCUGCGUCAGGGCGUCGAGGGGAGGGAGACGCUCCUCCUGGUGAGCCAGGUGCCACCAGUGUGCAGCAGCCUGGCAGCCCGGAGCCCUCCACCAAGCAGCCCAGCAGCCCUUCGGAGGACAAAGACAAGGAGGAGAAAUCUGCAGUGCGACCUAGCCCUUCUCCGGAAAGGAGCAGUGCAGGCCCAGAACCACCUGCGCCCCCUCCACUCCUUGCUGUGCAGCGUGGCAGCUCUCCACAGCCCGUUACAACAACCCCUUUAAGUCAGGAGCCAGUGAAUCCUCCAUCUGAGGCCUCCCCAACCCGGGGCCGUUCACCACCUAAGUCUCCUGAGAAGCCUGCCCCAUCUUCCUCAGAGAGCUCACCACCAUCCCCUCAACCUACCAAAGCGUCUCGGCAUGCGAGCUCAUCCCCUGACAGUCCUAAGCCCACUCCAGCUCCUGGGGCCCGCCGGGGGGCUUCUUCUUCUCCUACAUCCAAGACCCGCUCACAUGGCAGAGCAAAGCGGGAGAAGUCGCGUUCUCUUACACCUUCACGUAGAGGGGGGAGGUCCCGUAGCCCAGCUACUGCCAAGAGGGGGCGAUCUCGGUCCCGGUCCCCUCAGUGGCGUAGGUCCCGAUCAGCACAGAGGUGGGGAAGGUCAAGAAGUCCCCAGCGGCGUGGCCGCUCUAGGUCUCCUCAGAGGCCAGGCUGGUCCAGGAGCAGAAAUACCCAGAGAAGAGGCAGGUCUAGGUCAGCGAGGCGAGGCAGGUCACAUUCUAGAUCCCCAGCCACUAGAGGCAGAUCUCGUUCUAGAACACCAGCCAGGCGGGGCAGGUCUCGCUCUAGAACGCCUGCCAGGCGUCGAUCUAGGUCCAGAACAUCUGCCAGGCGUCGAUCUAGGUCCAGGACACCCAUCCGCAGGGGCAGGUCUCGCUCUAGAACGCCCGCCAGGCGUCGUUCUAGAACCCGGUCUCCUGUUCGGCGGAGAUCUCGCAGUAGAUCUCCGGCAAGGAGAAGUGCCCGGUCACGCUCUAGAACCCCAGCCAGGCGUGCCCGGUCACGCUCUAGAACCCCAGCCAGGCGUGGUGGGCGGUCACGUUCCAGAAGCCCAGCUAGGCGUGGCCGCUCACGUUCUAGAACACCAGCCAGGAGAGGGCGGUCUCGGUCUAGAACACCAGCAAGGCGAGGAAGGUCCCGAAGCAGAAGUGUAGUUAGACGUGGGAGAUCCCACUCUCGGACACCCCAGAGAAGGGGAAGGUCCGGCUCUUCCUCAGAGAGGAAGAACACACCCAGAACAUCUCGGAGAAGCAGAUCCAACUCAAGCUCAGAAAUGAAAAAAUCUCACGUUGCCUCAAGGCGUAGCAGGUCUGUCUCUUCACCUCGAUCCAAAGCAAAAUCUCGCUUGUCUUUGAGGCGAAGCCUUUCAGGGUCUUCUCUGUGCCCUAAGCAAAAGUCGCAGACACCACCCAGGCGCAGCCGGUCUGGAUCAUCCCAACCUAAAGCAAAAUCUGAAACGCCAAUAAGACGAAGUCGCUCUGGUUCUUCACCACCACCUAAGCAGAAAUCUAAGACACCAUCACGACAGAGUCAGUCUAACUUAUCUCCUCAGCCUAAGGUGAAAUCUGGAACACCACCAAGGCAAGGGUCUGGAACAAGUCCCCAGGGCACCGGACAGUCUACAACACCGCCAAGACGCAGUCGGUCCGAGUCAUCGCCUGAGGCUGAGGGGAAAUCUGGGACCCCACUGAGACUUGGCUGCUCUGGGGCUUCUCCUCAGCUCAAGUCUAGCACACCUCCAAGGCAGACUCCAUCUAGAUCCGCAUCUCCACCGCCACGAGGAAAGGCUGCGUCAGCUGUGUCCUCACCACGGCAGAGAAGCCUCUCUGGCUCCUCCUCUCCAAGUCCUGGUAGGCUGGCAUCUAGAACACCUCCAAGGCGGGGCAGAUCCGUGUCUCCGUGCACCAAGGGGGGGUCGAGGUUGUUGCCAAGACACAGCCGUUCUAGGUCCACCUCACCAGAUGCCAAAGCAGAACCUGAAACUCCAAGACAAAGUCACUCAAGGUCUACUUCUCCAUGCCUCAAAGUCAAGUCUGAAACUCCACCAGGGCAGCGUCUUACUGGAUCAAAGUCACCAGAUCCCCAGGAGAAGCCUGAGGACGUGGCAGCAGCAGCAGCAGCACAGAGUCACUCUGUGAAAUCUAGCUCCCCACCAGCAGGGAGCGAUUUGGACUCCUCUCUGCAACAGACAGGACAGUCUCCCAGAUCCGACGCUUCAAGCCCGGAAGUGCAGAGGCCCUUGCAGUCUUCGUCUCUGCUGGGCAGAUCUCGAACACCACCUAAAGGUUGCCGAUCGAGGUCCUCGUCUCCAAUCAGUGAGCUGGCCUCAAGAUCUCCAGUGAAUGAUGGAGGUGAAUUGGUCAGUCCUCGGCUGAAAUCGGGGAUGUCUCCUGGGCAGGGCAGGUCCCAGUCUGACUCUUGCUCCUAUCCUGUGAGCCAAAAAUCUUUUCUGGGACAGGGUAGAUCAGAACCUUUUUCUGAGUCGAAAGAGACAGCCUUCCCCACUCAAGAGGGUGUGACUGCAGCAUCUCCUGGACCGAGAGGCAGGUUCAGUCCGCUGGGACCGGAGAAGUCGGAGGCCUCACCUGGACUAGGAGAGACACCGAGGAGUGGCACGGGGUCACCUGCAGACCAGACUAGCGUAUCAGUGAAGGUAAACCAAGAUGAGGAGUUCAUGGAAGUGACAGAGAAGUCUGAACAGCCCACCAGCCAGCUCCUGCCCCGUGUGUCUCCAGAGCGUAAUGAAAUGGCUGCAAGCAGCUUGGGAUUGUCUCCCGAGGUAGAAGAAAGGCCUGUGUCCUUGGCGCUUGACCACAGCCAGUCGCCGGCUCCUUUGGAAGCAGUGGAAAUUCCUGCAGUGGCCUCGUCCUGGGGUGGAGCACAGUUUUCUCCAGAACGUAAAGAACUGUCUAGCUCACCUGGCAGGGAAAAUAGCUUUGGGUCACCUUUAGAGCUUAGAAAUUCAGGCCCUGUUACAGAAGUGAGCAGUGGAUUUUCUCCUGAGGUUAAGGAAGAUUUGAGUGGAUCUUUCAUUCCUCAGCAUGAGACAGACACGUCUCUAGAUGUGAAAGAACAGUCAACAAGGUCCUCCAGACGCAGCAGCUCUGAGUCAUCCCCGGAUGUUCUGGAGAAGGCAGGAAUGUCUCCAAACCAGAGUGUCUCUUCACCUGUUCUUGAUGCUGGAGCCAGAACACCCUCGAGAGAAAGGGGCAGUUCAGCAUCUUCUCCUGAGCCAAAGGAGGGCUUACCCAGGACUCCAUCACGGAGAAGCAGGUCUGGGUCUUCUCCGGGGCUUAGAGAAGGGUCAGGGACUCCUUCGAGACACAGCCUGUCUGGCUCCUCCCCUGGAACAAAGGAAGCACCUAGGACACCAUCCAGGGGGAGGAGUGAGUGCGACUCUUCACCAGAACCAAAAGUUUUGCCUCAGACUCCGAGGGUAAAGAGUCGUUCUCCAUCAUCUCCAGAGCUCAACAAGGGUCUGACCCCGCAGAGGGCGCGGAGUGGAUCCGAGUCCUCCGCUGAGCAGAAGGCAGUGGCCAGAACUCCCCUUGGACAGAGAAGUCGGUCUGGAUCUUCUCAAGAACUUGAUGGGAAGCCCAGCACAUCCCCGCAGGAAAGAAGUGAGUCAGAAUCUUCCCCAGAUGUGAAAGCCAAGCCAAGAGCCCCACUGAGGCAGAGGAGUCGCUCGGGGUCCUCUGCAGAGGUUGAGAAGCCCCGGCCUUCCCGGCGCAGCAGGUCAGCUUCCUCCCCUGAGGCGAAAGAUGGGGCUAGAGUGGCAGCCAGAGCUCCGAGUGCUUCUGAUUCUUCUCCGGAACCUCAAGUUCCUGUGCCCCGGGCUCUCCCCAGACGGAGCAGGUCACCCUCCUCUGGCAAGGACAGAGGCCCUUCCCCUGAAGGCAGCAGCAGUUCUGAGUCUUCCCCAGAGCACCCCCCCAAGUCAAGAGCCGUGCGAAGAGGCUCCAGGUCCUCCCCAGAACCGACCAAGACCAAAUCGCGCACACCACCCCGGCGGCGUGCUUCCCGGUCACCUGAGCUGACCAGGAAGGCCCGGCCCUCCCGCAGGAGCCGCUCUGCCUCUUCCUCACCAGAAGCCCGCUCCAGAACUCCGAGGCGCCGACGAAGCCCCUCAGUGUCUUCCCCUGAGCCAACCGAGAAGUCAAGAUCUUCACGCAGGAGGCGUUCGCCUUCAUCUCCCCGCACCAAGACAACUUCAAGGAGAGGUCGUUCUCCCUCUCCCAAGCCUCGUGGGCUGCAGAGGUCCCGCUCUCGCUCCAGGAGGGAGAAAGCGAGAACAGCCCGACGUCGAGAGAGAUCUGGAUCUUCCCAGUCAACCUCUCGGAGAAGGCAGCGGAGCCGGUCAAGGUCUCGGGUUACUCGGCGGCGGCGGGGAGGCUCUGGUUACCACUCAAGGUCACCUGCCAGGCAAGAGAGUUCCCGAACCUCCUCCCGACGCCGGAGGGGUCGUUCUCGAACACCCCCAACUAGCCGGAAGCGUUCUCGCUCACGCACGUCGCCAGCCUUGUGGAAGCGCUCCCGAUCCCGGGCCUCUCCAGCUGCUCACCGCCGGUCGCGGUCCAGAACACCCCUGAUCAGCCGCCGGAGGUCCAGGUCUCGGACCUCACCAGUUAGUCGGAGACGGUCAAGGUCUAGGACGUCGGUGACUCGACGAAGGUCUCGGUCAAGAGCGUCCCCGGUGAGUCGAAGGCGGUCAAGAUCCAGAACACCACCUGUUACUCGCCGCCGUUCAAGGUCUAGGACCCCAACAACUCGCCGUCGGUCCCGGUCCAGAACUCCACCUGUGACUCGCAGGAGAUCUAGAUCGAGAACUCCGCCGGUAACCAGGAGGCGAUCUCGCAGCAGAGCUUCGCCUGUUGCUCGCAGAAGAUCAAGAUCCAGAACAUCUCCAGUCGCUCGAAGAAGGUCUCGCUCUCGGACCUCUCCGGUGACCCGCCGCCGCUCGAGAUCUCGGACCCCUCCAGCCAUUCGACGCAGGUCUAGAUCUCGCACGCCACUGUUGCCACGCAAACGCUCCCGCAGUCGCUCACCACUUGCCAUCCGUCGCCGCUCCAGAUCCCGUACUCCAAGAACAACUCGAGGCAAGCGAUCCUUAACAAGAUCUCCUCCUGCUAUCCGCAGGCGGUCUGCCUCUGGAAGCAGUUCUGAUCACUCACGUUCUGCUACUCCUCCGGCAACGCGAAAUCACUCUGGGUCUCGGACACCUCCAGUAGCGCUCAGUGGUUCCAGAAUGAGCUGCUUCAGUCGCCCUAGCAUGUCACCAACACCUCUUGACCGAUGCAGAUCACCUGGAAUGCUUGAACCCCUUGGCAGUUCUCGGACGCCCAUGUCUGUCCUGCAACAGGCUGGCGGCUCCAUGAUGGACGGUCCAGGACCACGGAUACCUGAUCACCCAAGAGCUUCUGUCCCAGAAAAUCAUGCCCAGUCCAGAAUCGCGCUUGCCCUGACGGCCAUCAGUCUUGGCACUGCCCGACCUCCUCCGUCCAUGUCUGCUGCUGGCCUUGCUGCAAGAAUGUCUCAGGUUCCAGCUCCGGUGCCUCUCAUGAGUCUCAGAACGGCCCCAGCUGCCAGCCUUGCUAGCAGGAUUCCUGCCGCCUCUGCAGCAGCCAUGAACCUGGCCAGUGCCAGGACACCGGCCAUGGCAGCAGCAGUGAACAUGGCUGACGCACGGAGCCCCGCCGCCGCCGCAGCCAUGAACUUAGCCAGCCCCAGAACAGCAGUGGCACCUCCUGCUGGGAACCUUGCCGACCCUCGCAGCCCUGCAGCCUCAGCUGUGAACCUAGCAGGAGCCAGGACUGCCGCUGCUUUGGCAGCUUUGAGUCUCACCGGCUCUGGCACACCCCCAGCUGCUGCAAAUUAUCCUUCCAGCUCCAGGACACCCCAGGCUCCAGCCCCUGCAAAUUUGGUGGGUGCCCGGUCUGCACAUGGCGCAGCGCCUGUGAAUAUUGCCAGCUCCAGAAGCCCUGCAGCCUUAGCCCCGGCAGGUCUCAGCGGUGCUCGGCUGACACCAGCAUUGUCUGGUGCAAACCUCACCAGCCCCAGGGGGCACCUCUCUGCUUAUGAGCGUGUCAGUGGCCGCUCCUCACCACAGCUCCUUGACAGAGCUAGGUCCAGAACACCACCACCUGUCCCUAGCCAGUCUAGAAUGACCUCAGAGCGGGCUCCCUCUCCUGGCUCGAGAAUGGUUCAGGCUCCUGCUCAGCCUCUUCUCCCUCCAGCACAGGAAAGGCCCAGGUCCCCUGUGCCCUCAGCUUUCUCAGAUCAGUCUCGUGUGGUCGCCCAGACCACCACUGUAGUAGGCUCUCAGGCCCUUUCCCCGGGGACAGGGCUGAAAACCAUGUCUGCCGCCGACCACAAUGGCAUGCUCUCUGGCCCUGGCCCUGGGGUAGCACACCCCGAGGGUGGGGAGUCACCUGUCCCUACUGUGGCCCAGCAAUCUGCUCUGGCUGCCCUGCAGCCAGCCAAGGAGCGGCGGAGCUCCUCCUCCUCGUCGUCCUCCUCCAGCUCCUCGUCUUCGUCCUCCUCGUCGUCGUCAUCGUCGUCAUCAUCUGGCUCCAGUUCUAGCGACUCGGAGGGCUCCAGCCUUCCUCCUCAGCCUGAGGUGGCACUGAAGAGGGUCCCGAGCCCUGCCCCAGCCCCCAAGGAGGCUGUGCGAGAGGGACGGCCCCCGGAGCCCACCCCAGCCAAACGGAAGAGGCGUUCCAGCAGCUCCAGUUCUAGCUCCUCUUCUUCCUCCUCCUCCUCAUCCUCCUCCUCCUCUUCCUCCUCCUCCUCUUCUUCCUCUUCCUCCUCUUCCUCUUCCUCCUCCUCCUCAUCCUCCUCUUCCUCCCCUGCUAAGCCUGGCCCUCAGGCCUUGCCCAAACCUGCAAGCCCCAAGAAGCCACCCCCUGGCGAGCACAGGAUUUGGGGCACUUGUCUCCCCUACCUGCUUUGCUGUACCCUGAUUUGGCACAUGGCUGCAGGGUCAGAGUACAUCCUCAAGCCAGAACAAGGGGACUCUGAAGUCUCUUCCCUGCCCUCACCAUGCAGCCUGCUCCCAGGGAUUGUAGUUUUAAGUCUCCCCAUUGCUACUGCCAGGGCUCUGGUCUGGCCGCCGUCAUCUUCUCCCGACUCUGUCCACAGCCUCCUCCCUGUCUCCCUGCCUCCACGCCAUUCUCUUCCACACGUAGCCAGAGGGAUGUUUCUAAAACGCACAUCUGGUUACUUCCCUCCACGCCACAAAUCCUUCCGGGACGCCCUGUGGCCUGCAGGACAAAGCCCCGUCUCUGCAGGAAUGGCGUGUGAGGCUCUUCACCACCUGACCUUGCCCGCGCACUGCGCUCCUACUGCCCGCCCCCACACAUGCCCUGGGCUCCAGCCACACUCAGCGCCUUGCAGUCUAAGGAGAGCCCCAUGCCUUUGGACAUGCUGUUCCUUCUGCCUGGAAUUUCCUUGUCCGCCUGGUGAACUCCUCGUUCUGCAAGACUCCGCUCAAACAGCACCUCCAAGAAGACUGCCCUGCCCUGCCCUGCCCUGCCCACGUCUCCCUCCCCUGGGCCCCCAGACCUGUGUACAUCCAUGACCCUGGGGCUGCCUCCCACACACGGGGCCACGUGGGCCUUACCUGUUGGCCUCCUUCCACCAUCAGACUGAGUUCCUCCAAGUACAGGGACUGUCUUAAUCUUUGCAUCCCCCGCUGUCCCCUGUGGCCUGCCCACUGGGGACACUCAGUGGAUGGUGUGCGGGCGGAUGGGUGAGUGCGGACAAAGGUGGGUCUGAGGCUGGCCCUGUGUGGUGUGAGGUUUGGUGGUCAGGACCUGGGUGGGUGGUCCUGCGUGCUGGCUGGCGGGUUGGGAGGGGUGUGGUGCUAAGGAGGCCACCUCUGCUCCUCAGGUCUCGCAGCCCCCGGAAGCCGAUAGACUCUCUGCGGGACUCACGGUCCCUCAGCUACUCACCUGUGGAGCGUCACUGUCCCUCACCCCAGCCCUCACCACGGGACCAGCAGAGCAGUGGUGAGCGGGGUUCCCGGAGAGGCCAGCAUG